AACAUCGCGCACCUGCGGGAACCUGCGGAAGGAUCAUUAACGAGUUGCAAAACUCCCAACCAUUGUGAACCUACGACGUUUCUUCGGCGGGUGGCCGCCAGGCCGCGCUGACCCCUCGGGGGAGGCACCCCGCCGGAGGGCAUCCAACUCUCCCAUUCGUUAUCUUCUGAGAAAAAAACUAAAUAAUCACAACUUUUAACAACGGAUCU
rnacentral:misc_RNA from 1 species